rnacentral:siRNA from 1 species
UCUCCAAGGUGAACAGCCUCU